UGGGGAAUCUUGCGCAAUGGGCGAAAGCCUGACGCAGCCAUGCCGCGUGAAUGAUGAAGGUCUUAGGAUUGUAAAAUUCUUUCACCGGGGACGAUAAUGACGGUACCCGGAGAAGAAGCCCCGGCUAACUUCGUGCCAGCAGCCGCGGUAAUACGAAGGGGGCUAGCGUUGCUCGGAAUUACUGGGCGUAAAGGGCGCGUAGGCGGAUCGUUAAGUCAGAGGUGAAAUCCCAGGCCUCAACCCUGGAACUGCCGUUGAUACUGGCGAUCUUGAGUAUGCGAGAGGUAUGUGGAACUCCGAGUGUAGAAGUGAAAUUCGUAGAUAUUCGGAAGAACACCAGUGGCGAAGGCGACAUACUGGCUCAUUACUGACGCUGAGGCGCCAAAGCGUGGGGAGCAAACAGG
rnacentral:rRNA from 1 species